UAAGUUUCCUUUGUACCAGGCAUCCAGCUGGGUUCUGCAGAUAAAAAUGAUAAACAGAAAUGAACAUGGCCUGUGUCCUCAUAGAGUUUAUUAUCUAGAAGUGAAGACAGACAUCAAUCAAAUAAUCACAUAAAUAUAGUUACAUCUAAUUAUCAAUGAUGAUGAGUGGGUUGGACUGCAGAGGCAUCAGAACUUUUCUUGGAAGUCAGGGAAGACUUCUCUGAAUUGAGAUCUGCAGGAUAAUUAGAAGUUUGGUAGAGGAUGGGGAGAGGCAAGAAGCAUUUUGGGAAGUGGGAACAGCAUGUGCAUGAGCCACGUGACAGGAGGGUUUAUAGGCACUGGAGGAACUGAAAGAAGAGCCCUGUGGCUAAACGCAGAACAUUUGAGGGACAGUGGCAUUAGCUGAGGGUGGGGCAGAAGACAGGUGCCACUAAACCACUGAACUGUUUUAAAUGACUAACCACAUGAGCUAUGAUAAAUAACUCAACCUUCCAAAGACUGUUUUCUAGGGUGAAAAUCUCUGUUCCUUAAGCACACGGUGAUGCUGAACGACCUACUGAGCUACCAUUAAAGCUACAAACAAACGGCCAGGCGCGGUGGCUCAUGCCUGUAAUCCCAGCACUUUGGGAGGCCGAGAUGGGCGGAUCACGAGUUCAGGAGAUCGAGAUCAUCCUGGCUAACACAGUGAAACCCUGUCUCUACUAAAAAUACAAAAAAAUUAGCUGGGCAUGAUGGCGGGCGCCUGUAGUCCCAGCUACUCGGGAGGCUGUGGCAGGAGAAUGGCAUGCACUCAGGGAGGCGGAGCUUGCAGUGAGCCCAUCGCACCACUGCACUCCAGCCUAGCGGAGAUCACGCCACUGCACUCCAGCCUGGGCGACAGAGCGAGACUCCCUCUAAAAAAAAAAAAAAAACCUACAAACAAAUUUGAGCUAAACUUUCUCUAGGGAACAGCAUAUUGGAAAUUUCCACUUAACUCAGGAGGAAGACUACAGAAAAAGGGCCUUUUGGGAGUUUUCUACAUCAGUGGGGUGCAGUGUCAGGCCUGUAGUUCCAGCCACUUGGGAGGAGGGGACAGAGGACAGGAGGAUAGCGUGCGUGUAGGGGUUCUGGGAUGUAGUGCACUGUGGUCACUGGGUCUCAGCACUGAGUUCGGCAUCAGUGUGGUGACCUCCCAGUAGUAGGGGACCACCAGGUUGCCUAAGGAGGAGUGAACUGGCCCAGGUCAGAAACAGAGCAGGUCGAAACUCCCAUGCUGAUCAGUAGUGGGAUUGCACCUGUGAAUAGCCACUGCACUCAUAGUCAACAUAGUCAGAACCUGUCUCCCAAAAUAAAAUUAAAAAAUAAAAUAAAAACCAAAUUAUGGGCUGGGCAUGGUGGCUCACACCUGUAAUCCUAGCACUUUGGAAGGCCCAGGCAGAAGGAUCACUUGAGCCCAGUAGUUUGAGGUUGCACUAGCUAUGAUUACAUCACUGCACUCCAGCCUGGGCAACAAAGCAAGACUUCCUCUCUAAUUAAAAAAAUAGGCCAGGCGCAGUGGCUCACACCUGUAAUCCCAGCACUUUGGGAGGCCGAGGCAGGUGGAUCACGAGGUCAGGAGUUCAAGACCAGCCUGGCCAACAUGGUGAAACCCUGUCUCUAUUCAAAAUGCAAAAAUUAGCCAGGUGUGGUGGCACGCACCUGUAAUCCCAGCUACUUGGGAGGCUGAGAGGCAGGAGAAUGGCUUGAACCCGGGAGGCAGAGGUUGUGGUGAGCCAAGACCCUGCCACUGCACUCCAGCCUGGGUGAUAGAGCGAGACUCCA
rnacentral:lncRNA from 10 species